AACUAUGUUGUCACAAUCCUCAUUUAUGAGCUCACAAUUCUGGGAGUGGGGGCUGGAAGUUUGGUCCAGGCUCAGCUGGUAGUUCUGCGUGGGUCUCAUCCAGGUUUGGUCCUGUGGUUGCAGUCCACUGGAGGGCUGGUCUGAGACAUCUCUGAAGAUUAGAUAAGGCACUCAGCUAUAUCUUGCAUUUGCCUCCAAGUGGAGUCUUGAAGCAUGUUCUCACCAUCAAACUUGUGGAAGUUGGUUCUUGUGUCCUGGCAACAAGAAAAUGUCUAAGAAAGCCUUCAGGGUGCUGGAAAUCAAACUGUAGACCUGAAACUUUAUGCUGGUUGCAAGAAGGAGAAUUUAG